UUCGAGCGUCAUUUCAACCCCUCAAGCCUCGGCUUGGUCUUGGAGCCUGCGGUCUCGCAGCCCCUAAACUCAGUGGCGGUGCUAUUGAGCUCUGAGCGUAGUAAAUCUCCUCGCUAUAGAGCCUUAGUAGUUGCUUGCCAAUAACCCCCAAUUUUUAUUAGGUUGACCUCGGAUCAGGUAGGGAUACCCGCUGAACUUAA
rnacentral:misc_RNA from 1 species